GAUGAACGCUGGCGGCGUGCCUAAUACAUGCAAGUCGAGCGAACAGACGAGGAGCUUGCUCCUCUGACGUUAGCGGCGGACGGGUGAGUAACACGUGGAUAACCUACCUAUAAGACUGGGAUAACUUCGGGAAACCGGAGCUAAUACCGGAUAAUAUAUUGAACCGCAUGGUUCAAUAGUGAAAGACGGUUUUGCUGUCACUUAUAGAUGGAUCCGCGCCGCAUUAGCUAGUUGGUAAGGUAACGGCUUACCAAGGCAACGAUGCGUAGCCGACCUGCGAGGGGGUUCGGCCACAGUGGAACUGAGACACGGUACAGACGCCGACGGGAGGCAGCAGUAGGGAAUCUUCGGAAAUGGGCGAAAGCCUGACGGAGCAACGCCGCGGGAGUGAUGAAGGUCUGCGGAUCGUAAAACUCUGUUAUUAGGGAAGAACAAAUGUGUAAGUAACUAUGCACGUCUGGACGGUACCUAAACAGAAAGCCACGGCUAACUACGU
rnacentral:rRNA from 1 species